rnacentral:rRNA from 1 species
UACGUAGGGUGCAAGCGUUGUCCGGAAUUACUGGGCGUAAAGAGCUCGUAGGUGGUUUGUCGCGUUGUCCGUGAAAACUCACAACUCAAUUGUGGGCGUGCGGGCGAUACGGGCAGACUGGAGUACUGCAGGGGAGACUGGAAUUCCUGGUGUAGCGGUGGAAUGCGCAGAUAUCAGGAGGAACACCGGUGGCGAAGGCGGGUCUCUGGGCAGUAACUGACGCUGAGGAGCGAAAGCGUGGGGAGCGAACAGGA